rnacentral:tRNA from 1 species
UCCUGGCUGGCUCAGUUGGUAGAGCGUGCAACUCUUGAUCGCAAGGUUGUGAGUUUGAACCCCAUGUUGAGUG